rnacentral:tRNA from 1 species
GCCUAAGUGCGUCGUUGGCUCAGUCGGUAGACUCUUAAUCUCAGGGUCGUGGGUUCGAGACCCACGUCGGGCG